rnacentral:rRNA from 1 species
AGCCCUAAACACAAAUAAUUAUAAGAACAAAAUUAUUCGCCAGAGUACUACCGGCAACAGCCCGAAACUCAAAGGACUUGGCGGUGCUUUAUACCCUUCUAGAGGAGCCUGUUCUAUAAUCGAUAAACCCCGAUAAACCUCACCAAUCCUUGCUAAUACAGUCUAUAUACCGCCAUCUUCAGCAAACCCUAAAAAGGAACAAAAGUAAGCUCAAUAAUAUUACAUAAAGACGUUAGGUCAAGGUGUAACCUAUGGAAUGGGAAGAAAUGGGCUACAUUUUCUACCCCAAGAAAAAUUUAAUACGAAAGCCAUUAUGAAAUUAAUAGCCAAAGGAGGAUUUAGCAGUAAACUAAGAAUAGAGUGCUUAGUUGAAUUAGGCCAUGAAGCACGC